rnacentral:rRNA from 1 species
UGCAAGUCGAACGGUAGCACAGAGAGCUUGACUCUCGGGUGACGAGUGGCGGACGGGUGAGUAAUGUCUGGGAAACUGCCUGAUGGAGGGGGAUAACUACUGGAAACGGUAGCUAAUACCGCAUAACGUCGCAAGACCAAAGAGGGGGACCUUCGGGCCUCUUGCCAUCAGAUGUGCCCAGAUGGGAUUAGCUAGUAGGUGGGGUAACGGCUCACCUAGGCGACGAUCCCUAGCUGGUCUGAGAGGAUGACCAGCCACACUGGAACUGAGACACGGUCCAGACUCCUACGGGAGGCAGCAGUGGGGAACAUUGCACAAUGGGCGCAAGCCUGAUGCAGCCAUGCCGCGUGUAUGAAGAAGGCCUUCGGGUUGUAAAGUACUUUCAGCGGGGAGGAAG